GCCUAAGGAUAUUUAGAAAGCAAAGCUUGGAUAGAGGUUGUUCCCUACAAUGUUUAUAUUUUGCAGAAAAAAUUGAAAAUUUCAAGAUUUGCUGCUGUCCCUCACAUGCAAUUCUCAGAUACUACGAAAUUAUUUAUGAUGAAAAAUAAAAGAAGAAAGAUAAAAUGAACUUUUAGAAUUUGAGGUGGAGGCUAUUCACCUUGGAAUUUACAGACUGGAGCAUGCCUUGAGAAGAAACAUUUUUAUGGCCUUUGAAAUUUAUGAUCUACUGGUACAUUGAAAAUAAUUGGCCGUGAGAAUUCACAGGAAGCUACUUGUAUAGCACCCACUGGGUGAGCUCAUUUUAUUCAAGCCAUAAAUUUCAUUGAAAAAAUUACUGAAAGCUGAUGAAAAGCCUCACCUUCUGAAAGAAAAGCAAAACCAAACAACACAAAAUUCUCCUGGAAAAUCUGAUGAUCCCAGAGAAAGAAAUCGCUGUUGGAGCUCAAGGACCACAGGGCACAGAACCGAUGUUCCCAAAAGACAUAUCCACUUUUCUAGAUAGAUCCAUGGACACUGAUGUUUUUGCUGACCAAUCAGGAAAGUGUGAACCUUGUGUACGAACUAAUGGGUCAAUUUUGUUCAUAAAAGGCCACAGAAGCACCAUUUCUCCUUUAUUGACAGUCGUAUUCUGGUCUUUGUUAUCGUUUACAUAUGCAUCACCUAAACAGUCGCAGCCCUGGGGCAGAGAUCAUCAGACGCCAGCUCUCUCCCAGCAAGUCGCUUCCAGCCGUUAA
rnacentral:lncRNA from 1 species